CUUUAAUAAUUAAUUACAGUCUUAAGAACUUUAUUACAACAUAGGAGUUCUAACAUGGAUAAUUUAUAAUGAAAAAGCCAAAUAACUUUUAUUAAUAAAAAUUCAUGUACAUCAAGUAUGAGCACAAUCGUCAACAGACUGAUGAUUGGCUUUGGGAUAUAUUUUCAAUAUUUGACUUCUUAGCUAACCCUAUUAGGACCCUCUAGAGCCUUAUCCUAAACCUAAUCAGACUUGUAUUAGGCUAGGAAGGCUUGUCCUAAAAGGCUAAAGAUGUAGGAA
rnacentral:lncRNA from 1 species